AGUGAACGCUGGCGGUAGGCCUAACACAUGCAAGUCGAACGGCAGCACAGUAAGAGCUUGCUCUUACGGGUGGCGAGUGGCGGACGGGUGAGGAAUACAUCGGAAUCUACUUUUUCGUGGGGGAUAACGUAGGGAAACUUACGCUAAUACCGCAUACGACCUACGGGUGAAAGCAGGGGAUCUUCGGACCUUGCCCGAUUGAAUGAGCCGAUGUCGGAUUAGCUAGUUGGCGGGGUAAAGGCCCACCAAGGCGACGAUCCGUAGCUGGUCUGAGAGGAUGAUCAGCCACACUGGAACUGAGACACGGUCCAGACUCCUACGGGAGGCAGCAGUGGGGAAUAUUGGACAAUGGGCGAAAGCCUGAUGCAGCCAUGCCGCGUGGGUGAAGAAGGCCUUCGGGUUGUAAAGCCCUUUUAUUGGGAAAGAAAAGCAGCAGGUUAAUACCCCGCUGUUCUGACGGUACCCAAAGAACAAGCACCGGCUAACUUCGUG
rnacentral:rRNA from 1 species